AAGUUUAAAAAUUAUCAUUCAAUUUGUACAAUGAAGUUGAAGAUGUAUAAAGAAAUGUUAUACACAUUUUUUCCAGACAAAACCCCCCCAUAAGGAUGACAAUGUACUUGGACAAGAUUCUAAGACCUUUUUGAAAGAAAUAUGAAUAGGGGACUUCUAUAGCAGAAGAAGUAUAGCCAAACUUGCAGAAAACAACAACCGAAUGACUGCAUCACUAAAGAAAAGAAACAGGAUUUCUCCAAAUGUAGAAAUGCAGACAGCUCUUCACCAUCAACUGUGAUCCUUUGUAAUUUUGUGUACAUAUGAAACUAAAUGACUGCAAAGAAAUGUUUUUUGUUGUUCUUAGGUUGUUGUAUGCAUACUUCAUAAAUCCCAUGAUUUUAUUUCCACCAAGUGCCACGUAAUUUCCACCAACUGCCACAUUGGCAUGGCAUUUGGUGAAAAAAGAUCAAAGAAACUGAACGUGGCAUUUGAUGGAAAAUU